rnacentral:lncRNA from 1 species
CAAAAGUUUGUUUUGUCAAUGUUCAAUAACUUUGUAAUAUUGACUGGAAUGAUCUCAAGGGUUUUGUCCACUGAAGAUUGUAGCCAUGGCCACGGGUCAUGUUAUGCAAAUGUUUAAUGAUUUGCAUUAUUCAAACCCUUAUGGCUGGUUUAUCAAAGUUUCGGUGAUCACAGCAGGAAUUUUGCAUAGGUAAAUUCUACGUUUGGAAGAAAAUCUGACAAUCUGUAAGAAUUGUUUGAGCUAGGGAACUGGUCAGUUCUCUCGAACAUUUCUUACAAAUCCUUCAAGGCUUAGACUUUACGUACUGUUUAAAAAACUCAUUAGUCAGGGAAAGACAAAGGAAAUCACUGCCGCAUGUCGGUGUUUUUAUAUGUGAUCAAAAAUCAUGUCAUUUACAUGAACUUUAGCUUUGAUUUUCUCGGCUUAGAUAACGUUUAUUUUUAAAAUAUUACUUCGCCAGUCCGUGCUUUUAUCAGAUACAAAACUGAUACAUGAUGAUGACUGAAUCUUAGUCGAAAGCUAGAAUAUUAAAAUGUUUAUUUUCGGAGUUAUCGUUGUUUUAUAUUUUAUUAAAACACUCAGUGGUUUCCGUAAUUUUUGAUAAAGCACGCCUGCUCGUGUUUCAAAUAGUACAAAAUUCCUACUGUGAUCCAGUGUUGUAACGAGUCGAGUCAUUGACUCUGACUCUAGUCAACUCGAGUCGCUAUUUUCACUAUAGCUGCCCAGAUACUGUUAUAGUUAAAUGACUAAAGUAAUUAGUUUAAAACGCAAAUUUGAUUACUAAUUUGCGACUGCAAGCUAGGGUAGCUCAAGUCAAGUCUAGAAAUUGACUCGACUCGACUUAAAUCAGUGACUCGACUUGACUCGAGUGAAGCCGCUGACUCGACUCGACUCGAGUGAAGCCACUGACUCGACUCGAUCAAAAACUGAAAUGACUCGACUCGUGACUCGACCUUUGAGUGACUCGACUCGACUCGUGACUCGACCUGUAGGUGACUCAUUACAACACUGCUGUGAGCACAGAAACGUUGAUAGUGUUAAGUCCAUAUGGUCGUAACGGUGGUAAAGAUUGAGUCACGAUGCCUCUCAUCAGCCGAAAUACAACAUUUUAGAACUGAAAUUACGCGGAGUGAUUAUAACUAGAGAACAAUGAUGUUUGUGAUGUUACUCUGAGUGUGCAUCCACACAGGGCAAGCUAGCUGAAAAGUUA